rnacentral:lncRNA from 1 species
CAAAAACAAUGUCAGUAGAAAAUAACUAUGAAUCGUAGUUUAUCAGUAUCAACAGUAUUAACAGUAUUAAAAAGAUUAUUUUUUCGAUUGUAUAGAAAUUAAACGUAGCCUCUGUACGAACAAUGGACGGUCAUGUUGGUGGGACUAGUCAUGUCAUGUUCUUAGGUAAAUUUGAAAACAGCAAAAAGUACAAGGAACAAAUAUUGCAAGAAAUUAUAAUUGCUGUCUGUGCUAUGCUGAAUAGCAAUGGUGGAAAAGUGGUGGUACAUAUUGAUACUGAUAGCAACAUCCCAGUAGAAGGUUUCCCUUUCUCCCAAAUGUCAUUGGUGAUUCGAAUACUAGAACAAUCUAUGAUAUCCAUCAUUGGAGUACGCCAGACGAUCUUGAAAAUUAAUUUCAAAGAAGAUAAAGAUAACGAUGAAGAAAGUAUAAUCAUUUUCGUCCAAAAAUGUGAUUUUUUAAUCACAACUAAUUAUAACCUUUAUUUACCAAGUGAAAAACAAGUUGUACUGGUAUCUCCUCUAGAACCACCAGAAAAUAUCAAGGACGAUAUCAUCAACAGAAAAGUCGUUUUGAAACCAGUCCAACUUGGCUCACAUUGUCAAAUAUUUCGUGAAGAUAAAAAUUGUAGUUCUCAAGAAAACAAAACGGUUCAGUUCAAAAAUUUACAAGCAGGUCAGUCUAAACGUACCACGCUAGCAGAUCGCAUGACUGGUAAAGGUAAUAAAUUCAGUUGCUAUGUUUCAGCGUUUGCCAACUAUAACGGAGGUCACAUUUACUAUGGCAUCAGAGAUGAUGGAGUUGUUAAGGGAGAGUUGAUUCCAAAUGAGAACGACAAGAAUGGCAUAAUAAAGAAAGUCGAGAAAACCAUCAACAAGAUGAUCUGGCCUGAGCAGAUUGGUCAACCAAAACGAGGAGAACACUGGGAUAUAUUCUUCGAGCCAGUGAAAGAUGAAAACUUCAAACCUAUCCCAUCAACUUUUGUGAUCGUGAUCUAUAUUGCUCCUUGUCUGGGUGGUGUGUUUCCUGAGGAACCAGAAUGUUAUGAAAUGGUGGAGGGAGAAGUUAAGAAGAUGUCGUUUGCUACUUGGAGAAAAGGAAUAUUACAUCCAUUUCGGUUGCGUAGCAGGGACGAAAUCUCGCCUUCAGUUCAACGCGUUGCUUGGAGCUCAGCUGAGGCUCGGAAGAUUUUCACUGUUGGCGAUGCAGGUGAAAAAUUAAGGCAAUUAAUUAAUAAUGGUGAUUGGAAUGCCUUUUUGAAAGAGUGUCAAAUUCUUCAGAGAAAAUCUCAAUCAUGCGUGAUGAAGUUAUUGGUUUUGUCCAAACAAGUCAUCGCGUGUUGCCGCAGAGGUAGUUUCAGUGAAGCACGUGCCUUUCUCGAACAGUACAACGCCAUUUUAUCGCAAGCAGAAGAUCGUUUGAUUUUCGAGGUGAUGGGAUUGUACUUACAAGCAGCUUUAAAACGUGCAAGUGGAGAUUUUAAAGCACUCGGAGAACUAUUGACUGAAGCUUUGUCCAAGGCAGAACUGAUUGAACCAGGCCUGGUAACAGCAAUACUAUACGUUUUUGCUGGAACUGUAAGUGACCUGGUAAAUUCAGGAGACCCAACAAAGAAAUUUUCACCGGAUGUUCAUUCAAUAAGAGCUCUGGAACAUUUACGGUGUGUCCCAGAUCAAUCCAAAGUCCUUGAAGAUAUGGAGCAGAAGAUACAUGUAACUUUGGCCACAUUUUAUCUUGGCUGUAAUAUAAGUGGACAGCUUAUUAAGGGUAAUGUAGACAUUUCAAGUUUAAAAAAAGCGAAGAUUAGCAUAUCAGCUGUACAUCAAUCCACUUACGAAGGACACCCACUGAGUUGGUAUCGUGAAGUUCAGCUCAAUUUGGUACUGUCCCUCUAUAAUUAUCGACAUUCACAAGUCAGUCCUGGCGAAAGAGUUCGCUUUUUGCGCAAUGCCUUUGACUACGCCAAGAAAGCUGAAUGUCUUGCAAAAGAUCAUCAGUUCACGGAAAUGCAUGAAUGGAGUAAGGCUACCGAAGCAUUGUGCACGGAAGAACUAGUGCGCUCGAAAUUUGCCAAUUGCCGACCGAUUCAACCAAAAUAGACUGUACGAGUUAAAACUCUGAGGCUGGGUUUGCAAUUCAGCAUAUUUCAUCUGUAUGUACUGUACGAGUACUGUUCAUAUAAGCCAGUCUGUCCCAUCAAAUAGUGAAUAGUAAUAGUACUAGUAAUAGUCAAUAGUAAAAUAAAUAUAUAAAAACUACGAGGGAAACGUACAUUAUUAACCAUAUUAGAGAGGUUCAAAUUUGACUUCCACUACCACUACCGCUCCGCUAGUACUAACCAAUCAGAUGCGUUUCAUAUAUCUGAUUAACCAAUCAGUUGCAGACUAAGCCAGUGAGAGGUAAUGGUAGCAGAAGGCAAAUCUCGACCUCUAUAUUAUCACGAGCGCGCCGCUUGUAUAAUGAAAUCAGGGCGCUUAUAUAUAAGAACAGUCAGACACUGUGUUUACCGCCAAAUGGAACGCAAAUGUCAAUUGAAAACAUCGUUCCGCAAUAUUUAGUUUAAUGUCAAGUAAUAUACCAGAACAAAGUAGAAAUUCAAUUUGUUGGUGUAUUGUCUAUUGAAUGACUUGUUUUUACCUAAAUGUGUUCAACGUCGGGAUCACUAUAGACUAAAGGCCCUGUUACACGGUGCAAUUUUUCAUGCAACUUGUCUCGCAAUGUUUAUAAAAAGAUUUUGAUAAUGCAUUGCAAGAGGUGUUACACGCUGCAAUGAUUUCCAUGCAACUCGCAACGAUAGGGGACAGAGGCAUGCGAAGAGACUAGGGAGAGGCGCUAUUUGGCGCCAAAUUUUAAUUAAAAUAAAGCGUGUACUGGGGAGAGCCAAUAGGAACUCUCCAAGCUAUAAACAUUGCGAGACCAGUUGCACGAAGCCAUGUUACACGCUGCAACGCUUAAAAUAAUUAGUGCAAUCGUUGCCAAAAGUAGAACCGACUUCUACUCUCUGCAAUGCUUCAUGCAACUUGUCUCGCAACGAUUUUGAAAAUUACAAGGCAUGUUAAACGGUGCAAUGACUCGUGCAACUUGUCUCGCAACGCCAUUGCGAGACAAGUUGCAUGAAAAAUUGCACCGUGUAACAGGGCCUUAAGAGGGCC